rnacentral:misc_RNA from 1 species
GAUGAAGAACGUAGCGAAAUGCGAUAAGUAAUGUGAAUUGCAGAAUUCAGUGAAUCAUCGAAUCUUUGAACGCACAUUGCGCCCUCUGGUAUUCCGGGGGGCAUGCCUGUUCGAGCGUCAUUAUAACCACUCAAGCUCUCGCUUGGUAUUGGGGCUCGCGGUUCCGCGGCCCCUAAAAUCAGUGGCGGUGCCUGUCGGCUCUACGCGUAGUAAUACUCCUCGCGAUUGAGUCCGGUAGGUCUACUUGCCAGCAACCCCCAAUUUUUACAGGUUGACCUCGGAUCAGAUAGGGAUACCCGCUGAACUUAAGCAUAUCAAUAAGCGGAGGA